GCAGGAAGUGGCACGAACCACGACGGGAAGGACCGUACACGGUGGUGUGAGCUACUCCCACAGCAGUCCAGGUCGAAGGGAGCGGGACGUGGUAUCACCUGUCACACUGCACGAAGGUUCCAGGCAAAACCAAGGGCGGUAUUGAGUUGAAAAACAAAGAUGAAAAACAUGACAUUGUGGUGUGUGCUGGUGGUAAUGAACUCUCUUCUAUGGAUGCCUGUAGAAGCAGUGGAGCUAGAGACUUAAAGGGGAAAACAGAGCACCCCGGGGACCAGAGCCACGCCAGAGACCAACCCGCACGACAGAGGAGACAGAGCAUCUGAAUCAGAUGAGUAUGAUGCAACCACACAGACACCAAUCCAUGACGUGCUAAACUCUGAGCCAGCACUCUCAGCUGAGCUCAAACACAUAAACAUUCCGUACCAAGUGGUGUAUGGACGAACACGGGGUAAAAGAGCUUUACACAAAAUGUGGCGGUGGCGUGCUAGCAUGGACAUACCCGAUUAUGGGGUGCCGUUUGUAAAGCAGCCCAUUAUAAAAACAACAGCAAGAUUUGGUCAUAUUUAGCAAAACAACAGCAAGAUUUAGUCACAUUUAGCUUCAAACAGCAUUUAAAAAGUGAUGUUAAUUUUCGGCAGUCAUUUUUUUGCACAUUUACAACAACAUUUAAAUACUAAAACUAAAUGUUAAAUGUUAAAUCUAAAUGCUAAAUAUAAAUCUUAAAUAUAUAUGUUAAAUCUAAAUGUUAAAUAUAAAUCUAAAUGUUAAAUAUAAAUCUAAAUGUUAAAUAUAAAUCUAAAUGUUAAAUCUAAAUGUUAAAUCUAAAUGUGUUGGGCGAAACUAAAUAUUUAGCUAAUAUGCAAAUUCACGGUCGGAAACCGGAAGUGCCAAAGUAAAAGCUCCAGAAGGUCAUAUUGCUGAUUCUUGUGUCGAAGAAAACGAAUUAAAACCAAUUUAAGGGGGGAACAAAUACUUGGGGUGACGUUUCGUGUUAAUAACUACCUACAAUAGCGACAGCAACAAUAAAAACUUUAUUAGAAAGACUCGAGUUUUCAGUGUCGCUUCUCCGUAUGGCGCGGACACUGUACAUCACGUUUUUAAAUGCUGUUUGAAGCUAAAUGUGACUAAAUCUUGUUGUUGUUUUGCUAAAUGUGACCAAAUCUUGCUGUUGUUUUUAUAAUGGGCUGCUUUACAAACGGCACCCCAUACCCGA